GGCGUGGCUCUGCGGGCAGUCCGCCAGGUUGGCGAUCUGGAAGGCGCUGUCUGUGACGGCGGCCGAGGCCGCGGCGGGGGAGUGCAGGGCCGUCAUGACGAUGACCCCGGGGGGCAGGGAGAGGCCGCCCAGCGCCGGGAUGGCCGAGAAGAUGCUCUACCUAAAUAGUUUAGAUAUUUCCAGCAUCUUUUCUGAUGUAGGGCUGUCGAUCAGAAACGCUCACUUCGGAGACACUCGUGGGGCUACGUCUAGUUUCCAGACUCCGGUAUGUUUAGUUCAAAAUGGUUAUCAAUUACGGUAAUUACGACCAUAAUUAGAUUAAUGAACCGUUUGCAGCCCAACCUACCGAGUGCAAAAACUUCGUCUUCCCCCGACGUCGUGCACUAAAAAGCAGGCUUUAUGUAAACAAAUCCAGAUGAAGGCAGCGUAAAUCUACAGAAGAAACCUUACCCUGGGCUGUGCUAGGGACUGGCGGGCGUCUUUCCAUCGGUAAAAAAAAGACCCCGAGCCCGCAGGAGCCACCUCUGUGUUUCCACGUCAGGGAAAAACCCAGACUCUCGCUGCCUUCAGAGGUCUGGUGGCAAUACAAAGGCUGCCCCGGAAAGCUCUAGGCUAAGCGUCGUCUUGUGGAGGGAUGCGAAGGAUUUGCAUAUAGCAAAAAAAGAAAAAGAACAAAAAACCCCCACCAACCCUCUCCCGUUUCCAGAUAGGAAAACCUAGCCGCAUGUCCUCGAAAACAACUACUCAAUAAAACUAGUUUUGCCAGCCGUGUGUAGGAAAGCCAGGCAUCUGGUAAGGAAUAAAACGUUAGCGUUCAGCCCUUUAUGCUGUAAAUCUAGUAACAUACGCAUUUUCUUGCCCUAUUCCCUCCAGCUUUAAAGUGGCUUCUCUCCACAAAAGCUUCCCUCGCUGGCUACCUUUUCUCUGCCCGCAGCCCCCUCUCGGGAUUUAUUGCCACCAGGAGCGAGAAAAUGAUGGUGACCACCAACCGGGUCAUUAUUGUUUAAUCGAUGCAUCUCCGGAGCAUGAAAAGGGUACCCGAGACGCAGUUAUUGAUUUCUCCCCUCACCACCCCCCCCUUAACUAUCGCCCUCAUUUCCACGAAUGAAAUAAAUAAAUAGAAAUAGCUAGCCGGGGUUCGAGAUUCUGUCCCUGCUCAAGCCAAAUGUGACUGUACAUGUUCAAUAUUGCAUGUCUGCUCUGCCAAAGACAGAGAGAUCAAAGGUCAUAUUUAACAUUCAGGAGGAGGGGCGGGUGCAGAUUAAUUAAUAAAUUAAUAUAGCGGCGCCUUUUAUUGCCCAAGUCUAGCAUUAAUCUACUUUUACAAUCCCACAGGACAAGGAAAAAAAAAGAGCCCCCGACAAAACCACAAAAUUAAAUAAAACAAACAAAACCCAAA